ACGCAGACUGUAAACUGUGCACCAGGUAAGUUCCCAGGAAAGAGAGGUGGGUCACAACAGACACGCUUAAAUACCAAGUCUUUCCUUAGCCAGAACCUCCCUAAACAACACUUUCACAAAAUCACCUUUCCCCUAACAAUACCAAGGAUAAUUCUUUUCUGAUGUGGAAGAUCAGACAAAGCUGCAACCACAGAGCAUACUAAGAAAAAUUAUCCUACCGAACCUUGGCUCUUGAUACCAGUUGUUGGAAAAAAUAGCAUAAGUUAAAAAAUUAAGACACAAUCACAACACAAGAAUAUAACGUGGAAACUCCAAAACCGGAGAAAAAACCACGGCCGCUGCCUAAACCGGCAACCAGAGAAUUAAUACUAUGUGAAAAUUGUUACAACACAUAGACUUCUCUCACUCACACCCCAGACACCCCAGUACAACCACACUCUUACAAAGCAAAUAUUUAAACUAAGUCAGAUACAAGCUUAAAGUGCUAUUGCUGACUGGUGCAUUUGAAAACAAAGGACCAAAACCCAAUAUAUAGCCUUGGCCUUCUCCUUAUUCUCCCACACUAAAGGAUGUGGGACUUGCAAUCAACCCAACAAUUUCUACUAAACAACUUCCCCAAUUAUCAAAGUAGUACAAAGGAUUAAGGAGAUUUCAUGUCAUGCAUGAAAAAGACACAUAAAUUAACUUUGUUGAGUGCAUGAUUGAUGUAUUAAUUCACUUUUAUGAAAGACAAAAAUCAUUCUAAUCACAUAAAAUUAUUUUUAAUGUUUAGGUGUUUCGAAAUCAAUUGUUUGUGUAGCGAUUGAUUUUAACUUACAACUAGCAAAAUAAUCGAGUCAUGCAAGGUUGGUGUUGUGUAAAUUAAAUGUUUAAGUAUAUACAAUCUAAUACAAGUAGCAUAAAUUAAGAUUGUUCUCACGAGGGUUGAUCAUGUCAUUAAUUUCAAUAUUUUUCUAAUACAUUCAAAUUGUUUGUUAUAAAACUAAAAUGAUUACAUUUUUGGAAUAACAAGUUAAAGUAAAACUUAAUCUAAACAAUGCAUAUUUGAGCAAGCAACCAAAUAUAUAAACAUCGGACUAUGCAAACAAGUUAAGGAUAUUAUCCAUAUUGAACUUAGUUUGUGAUUCUAAAAUGUUGUAGCAUGAUUGUAGCUUUAUGAACAGAGUGAUCUUAGAGAUUUUCUAACUUAGUCAUUAUGGUUUUAAAAUGCAUUAAUAACAUUUCUAAGUUCAUGCUCAAGUCCAACUAUGCUACCAUUUUCAAUACCUCUUUGGUAGGGAUGACAAGAUGCGGG
rnacentral:lncRNA from 1 species